rnacentral:lncRNA from 1 species
CGACGAGACUUAACCUCAAAACCCCAAGUGACUUUCCAAUUUCGCCGGAUAUGCCCUGCAAUUUAUUGUGGAUAAAAUUUCCUACCUAUAAUCUUGAUCAACAAUGUUCCUCCCCAUUUUUUUCUUACACGAGCUAGAACCUAAGCUCCCACGACCUCUAAAUUUUCACCAUCAUCACGAACCAUUGGGGGGGAAUAACCAAAAUCUAAUCCAAGGGUAUCUCUUUACCCCCAACAACAUCAGCAAAUGAUCAUGAUGUAGGAGCACUCCUACGAAUAAUCUCCUCCAUCCCACACCCACAAAUGAAUUCUUGAAAAACGUGAAGAAUUUAGCCACCAUAGCACAUGAACACUAGAGCACGAGAGAGCGAGAAAAACAAGGAUCACCACACACAGUCACCCAAUCACCACUUUCUAUAUUCCCAAUCUACGGGAAUUUUUGAAGAUCGUGAGGAUUUUCUUGGAACUCCAAGAAUUGCAAAAUGAGAAGAAGAAAAAAAAGAAAUGAAUUGCAUAUGUAGGUUUAUGACAAUGGUGACGUUAGACAAAGGUGUCAAAAUUUGUGGAAUUUUUAGAAAGUGAGGAAGUUCUCA